AUAAUCAUCGAAUCUAUACCUGAACCAAUCAAAAUUAUCUACUAGCCUGGAAACAAUAAUGAUGACAGUAGAAUAAAUCCAAAUCGACGAUAAAGGCUUAAAUUGACUGUGUGAAGUUUUCUCUUUCGCAGGUUAGAAGGGUUGGAUGGGGUAUGAAAUCAGGAAUUUAUGGUGUGAUAUCCAUAUCCCUUCGCUGGUGAAAUAUCCCCGGAAUCUAAUGGGAUAUAAAGCCUCCCCUUUGUCUCUAAAGCUAGGUGUUCUUUUAGGGUAGAGAUCGAUAUUCACGGAAGCUCUCUUUUGGAUUUGAAAAAGCAGGAGAUUGGAAUAUCUAACCGGUUGAAUCUUGUAUAAGUCAAUUGUUUUUAAGAGCUGGUCGCCACGUUCGAAGGUAUCCUGGAUUUUCACAAGGAACGAAAGGGUGUCUGGUGACCAGUGGAACAAUCCUGGUGAGGUGAAGAUAGAUGACAUCUGUGUACGAUUGAUUUUAUUAGAAAAAAAACGCAUUUCGGACAGCUGAGAAGAAAAUACUGCUGGCGAUAACAGGACAUACUUCGCGGGCCCACCAGAGGAACAAUGAGAUAAGACAACGAUGCGAAGUAGAAGAUGUUGUCAGAGGGGUUAGAGGUAGAAGAAUAGGCUGGAGAGAUCAUGUAGACAGGAUGGCUGAAGAUCGGAUAGCCAAAAUUGUCAAGGAAUGUGUACCUCGGUACACAUUUCUUCUCCUACUCGUAGGAGAAGACCUCUAGACAGACCACCGAAGAGAUGAUACGAAAGUUGGAACUCAGCCUCCCAAGAAUGAGGCCAAGGUGUUGCUAUAAAACAGACCAUGUCCUGGAAAACGAGGAAGAAGAAGAAAACAGCAUCUGAAAACAAAAAUUUUUUCGUAAUAAGAAAUUUCAUUUUUUUGGAUCUCCUAAUUUCACACCAGUACUGUCUUCAUUUCUUUUUUGGAUAUUCUAAUUGAAUAUUCUAUGGUUCUAACGUCGCUAUUAACAGGCUAGUUUUCACGAAGUUUGGAAUUGCUAUAUAUAAUUACAUUUUUUUUUGCCGGAAACCUUUUGAAAAAAUAAGCCUUUAUUUACUACGAAAUAUAGAGCAUCGUCAGUUUCAAUAACUAUGUAUUGAGCUUACCUAAUAGACUUGUCUACUGGAACUGAUUGUCAUGUUAUACAAGAUGAUUCAAAAGUACUUUGUCAAACUUCAGGAGCUAAAUCAUCUCAAUAUUCUAAUGUGAAUUGUCCAAAUAAAUAUAUGUUAGCAACGCUUCGUAUCCAUUAUACGAGGUGUUAUUGUUAUUUUCGUUUUUUGUAAAUAACUCUGAAACUGAAUCAAAUACCUGAAUAAAUGAAAAAUAUUUAUAUGUA